CACGGAAAACACUCUUGAGAACCCAGCUAAUCAUCUCUUUGGCAUGUGAAAACAGUCGUGGUGAGAGCAAAGCGUUUCUGCACACGGGCCAAGGUGCGGAGGUGAACUUUGAGGGACGCCAGUGAGUGAUCAGACUGUGGGAAGGCAACACGCUCCUGGAGACACGGAGUCACGGAGACAUUCGCUGUUCAUAAUGAGGAGUAACUUAUCAUCCAACUCCAACCUGUAGCAUAUAAGUAAAGGACAUACGAACGGCGCAACGAGGCGUGACAACUCGCAAAAAAAACGAGUGUAUUAGUACGUAUUUAUAGGGAGCGGCGACACGGCAAUGUGGCGGAGAGAUCUUAGCGUCUGGGAGACAAAUUGGAUGAAAUUUGAAUUACUCUUCAUACCUGAGUCGAGUUGCACGCAUACCAACUCCCGAAUAUUGCCCGAGGAAAAAGAAAAGAAAGAAAAUUUACAAGGGAAAUGAAAGAGGUGAGGCUAGGAUGGCGUUUGUGACCUGAUCGUCCUCCGCUGUCCCUAAGGUCGCGGGAAGGUGUUUUGGCAACGCUUCCUCGUGCCGCGCCGCCCUCGUGGGAUUCAGAACGGACCUGUUAUUUACGCGGUGGUGUUAAGCCGCUUAUUGGUGGCGGAUGUCCUACAUAACUUGAUGAGCUGUGAGGCGGAGAGAGGGAGGCUGUGGGGCGGGGAAGUGUGAGGUGUUGUUUGAUGUCGUGGCGGGGCUUGAGGGGCGUGAGGAACGGUGAGGCAGGAGGAGUUGAGAGUGGUGCGGGGAAGGGCUGCAGGACUGAAGGCCGAGUUGCGUGGUAUGUACUGUAAUAUAGUGUGGUGGCGGUGAUAAUUCCGACUCCUUCGCCCUUACCACUGAUUCUCUCUCUCUCUAUCUCUCUCUCUCUCUCUCUCUCUCUGGUGAUGAGUAAACAGUAAUGUAUCUAGAUUAAGUUCCACAUGAUUCUCUUUACUUGCACACAGCAUUGCACCAUACCACACUUCUAUCUCUUGCAUCCCCUUCCUCCUCACCCCUCCCCCACUCUCCCCUCUCAUCCCUGCCAACACACCCCUCCAUGCCGUAUAGUAUUCGUCCCCACGCCACAUCUCUCCUCCCCAACCUGACCAUUACUUGUCCGCCCACAUUCUCUCUUCUCAGGUCACUGCCCCUGCCUCCUGCACCGCCGCGUCUCUGUGUCCCUCCCUCUCUCCCCUCCUUGCCUCCCCGACCCAUAUUCAGUGCCUCCACUCGCUAUCUCUCUCCCUGCCCUUCUUGCGUCCUCGUUCUCUCUGUACUCUCUCUUUAUAGAUAUUAUCCUUGUCGUUUUCUUCCAACGCUUUACCUCUCAGCAUCACAAGUGUCCUCCUCGUCCUCUUCCUUCACUACGUUUUCUCUAAUACGCCUUCCUUUACUUCAUCCCACUUUUGUCCAGCCUUACUUAUCAUCUCCUAGCCCUUCUGUCUUUGUUGCAGUACCGCAGGCGCACUCUCUCUCUCUCUCUCUCUCUCUCUCUCUCUCUCUCUCUCUC